CCUCGCCGCCCCUCACCGCCGCGUCGUGUCCGCAGCGGCCCUCGCACCCUGCACCGCACGGGUUGCUGCUCUCCUGGCGCCUGAGGGAAGCCGAAGAUGGGGUUUGAUGGUUGAAAAAGCCAAAAUAGUGGAAAUAGGGUUUGUGAUGUAAAAGAAAAUGGUUAUAUUGGGUCGGACGGGAGGUGCUGCCGGUGACCUUGGUGAAGCACGAGGUUUCCUCAGGAUAGCACAAGAAAUCACCCAUAGGUGCGGGGAGACUUGAAGGCUGAGGGACUUCCUGGGUUGCACUGGGAUGUAUUGGAACAAUCUAACUGAGACUAGAUAGAGCACACCAAAUGAAGAUCAUCUUUAGGUGAUUGGGAGUUGAUCUUGAGGUUCUCCUUCGCCCUCUGUCCAGCCCACCAAACCCAAAUUUUCCAUGAGAGGAGUGAGAAUACACAAAUGCUGUAGAACCAAGACAAAUAAAACUACUUCAUGCAUAGAUGGGAAGCAAGGAACUAAGAAAAGAGAAACUUCAAGGGAACAACUGUACUGA
rnacentral:lncRNA from 14 species